rnacentral:tRNA from 1 species
GGCCAUAGCUCAGUGGUGGAGCAUAUGCCUUGCAUGCAGAAGGCCCAGGGUUCAAUCCCCAGCAUCUCCA